AACCAGCUCUUCAAGUGGUCGGGAUUAUUAUUGGGCUUAAAGUGUCCGUAGCCGGUAUAGUAAGUUCCUGGUUAAAUCGGAUAGCUUAACUAUCUGUUGGCUAGGAAUACUGCUAUACUAGGGGGCGGGAGAGGUCUGAGGUACUCCAGGGGUAGGGGUGAAAUCCUAUAAUCCUUGGGGGACCACCAGUGGCGAAGGCGUCAGACUGGAACGCGCCCGACGGUGAGGGACGAAAGCCAGGGGAGCGAACCGGAUUAGAUACCCGGGUAGUCCUGGCUGUAAACGAUGCGUGCUAGGUGUUGGUAUGGCCUUGAGCCGUAUCAGUGCCGUAGGGAAACCGAUAAGCGCGCCGCCUGGGGAGUACGGUCGCAAGACUGAAACUUAAGGAAUUGGCGGGCGAGCACCGACAAGGGGUGAAGCCUGCGGUUC
rnacentral:rRNA from 1 species